GAUGAACGCUGGCGGCGUGCCUAAUACAUGCAAGUCGAGCGAACAGACGAGGAGCUUGCUCCUCUGACGUUAGCGGCGGACGGGUGAGUAACACGUGGAUAACCUACCUAUAAGACUGGGAUAACUUCGGGAAACCGGAGCUAAUACCGGAUAAUAUAUUGAACCGCAUGGUUCAAUAGUGAAAGACGGUUUUGCUGUCACUUAUAGAUGGAUCCGCGCCGCAUUAGCUAGUUGGUAAGGUAACGGCUUACCAAGGCAACGAUGCGUAGCCGACCUGAGAGGGUGAUCGGCCACACUGGAACUGAGACACGGUCCAGACUCCUACGGGAGGCAGCAGUAGGGAAUCUUCCGCAAUGGGCGAAAGCCUGACGGAGCAACGCCGCGUGAGUGAGGAAGGUCUUCGGAUCGUAAAACUCUGUUAUUAGGGAAGAACAAAUGUGUAAGUAACUAUGCACGUCUUGACGGUACCUAAUCAGAAAGCCACGGCGAACUACGU
rnacentral:rRNA from 1 species